AAGAUUAAGCCAUGCAUGUCUAAGUAUAAGCAAUUAUACAGCGAAACUGCGAAUGGCUCAUUAUAUAAGUUAUCGUUUAUUUGAUAGUGCCUUACUACUUGGAUAACCGUGGUAAUUCUAGAGCUAAUACAUGCUACAAACCCUGACUUCGGAAGGGGUGUAUUUAUUAGAUUAAAAACCAAUGCCCUCUGGGCUCCUUGGUGAAUCAUGAUAACUUCACGAAUCGCACGGCCUUGCGCCGGCGAUGGCUCAUUCAAAUUUCUUCCCUAUCAACUUUCGAUGUUUGGGUAGUGGCCAAACAUGGUUGCAACGGGUAACGGAGGGUUAGGGCUCGACCCCGGAGAAGGAGCCUGAGAAACGGCUACUACAUCCAAGGAAGGCAGCAGGCGCGCAAAUUACCCAAUCCCGAUUCGGGGAGGUAGUGACAAUAAAUACUGAUACAGGGCUCUUUCGGGUCUUGUAAUCGGAAUGAGUACAAUUUAAAUCCCUUAACGAGGAACAAUUGGAGGGCAAGUCUGGUGCCAGCAGCCGCGGUAAUUCCAGCUCCAAUAGCGUAUAUUAAAGUUGUUGUGGUUAAAAAGCUCGUAGUUGAACCUUGGGCCUGGCUGGCCGGUCCGCCUCACCGCGUGUACUGGUCCGGCCGGGCCUUUCCCUCUGUGGAACCUCAUGCCCUUCACUGGGUGUGCUGGGGAAACAGGACUUUUACUUUGAAAAAAUUAGAGUGCUCCAGGCAGGCCUAUGCUCGAAUACAUUAGCAUGGAAUAAUAAAAUAGGACGUGUGGUUCUAUUUUGUUGGUUUCUAGGACCGCCGUAAUGAUUAAUAGGGACAGUCGGGGGCAUCAGUAUUCAAUUGUCAGAGGUGAAAUUCUUGGAUUUAUUGAAGACUAACUACUGCGAAAGCAUUUGCCAAGGAUGUUUUCAUUAAUCAGGAACGAAAGUUAGGGGAUCGAAAACGAUCAGAUACCGUUGUAGUCUUAACCAUAAACUAUGCCGACUAGGGAUCGGACGAUGUUAUUUUUUGACUCGUUCGGCACCUUACGAGAAAUCAAAGUGCUUGGGCUCCAGGGGGAGUAUGGUCGCAAGGCUG
rnacentral:rRNA from 1 species